rnacentral:rRNA from 1 species
AGAGUUUGAUCAUGGCUCAGAUUGAACGCUGGCGGCAUGCCUAACACAUGCAAGUCGAACGGUAACAGGCCUUCGGGCGCUGACGAGUGGCGGACGGGUGAGUAAUACGUAGGAAUCUGCCCAGUAGCGGGGGACAACUUAGGGAAACUUAAGCUAAUACCGCAUACGCCCUACGGGGGAAAGCAGGGGAUCUUCGGACCUUGCACUAUUGGAUGAGCCUACGUCGGAUUAGCUUGUUGGUAGGGUAACGGCCUACCAAGGCGACGAUCCGUAGCUGGUCUGAGAGGACGAUCAGCCACACUGGGACUGAGACACGGCCCAGACUCCUACGGGAGGCAGCAGUGGGGAAUAUUGGACAAUGGGGGCAACCCUGAUCCAGCAAUGCCGCGUGUGUGAAGAAGGCCUGCGGGUUGUAAAGCACUUUCGGUAGGGACGAAAAGCUGAGGGCUAAUAUCCUUCAGUCUUGACUUAACCUAAAGAAGAAGCACCGGCUAACUCCGUGCCAGCAGCCGCGGUAAUA